rnacentral:pre_miRNA from 2 species
UCCUAUGGAUGAGCAAAGAAAGUGAUUUCUUGAGAUGGAAUCUACUCCUGGUAAAGCUGCUGUGAA